rnacentral:lncRNA from 1 species
ACGGGUAAAUCGCACUUCCAAAAUCUCCCAAAAUGCUUCAAAAGGUUGCACUGCUAUGUGUGGUAUUUAUUGGAGGCCUGCUAAUGGCUGGAAUACCUGAAACCUCUGCGACUCAUUUUGCGUUUGAUCUGGCAAAAGGGAGUCCACUAGAUCUAUUGUGCAAGCUGCUUUCGCUAUGCCCGGACGAAGAAAAACCACCAAUACCAAGCGGGCCACCUCCAAUUACAGCACCACCAAGUGCAAAACCAGAUCCCACAAAGCCUACAACGCCAAAACAGGCACCUCCAAAGCCAAAACCAGGUACUUCGAAGCCCCAACCAGGUCAUCCAAAGCCAACAACACCAAAACAGGCACCUCCGAAGCCAAAACCAGGUCAUCCGAAGCCAACUACGCCCAAACAUGCACCUCCAAAGCCAAAACCAGGUCCUCCGAAGCCAAAACCAGGUCCUCCAAAGCCCACUACACAUAGACCAUAAAUUGGAGGCAGCGGCUGAAAGAGUAGAAUUUUGAAGUUAACAAUCGUCCAUCUGUAGAUUUGCUGCGUGGCUAUUAAAAAGCGUAUUGGCAAAAGU